rnacentral:rRNA from 1 species
CACGUAGGGGGCAAGCGUUGUCCGGAUUUAUUGGGCGUAAAGAGCUCGUAGGUGGUUCGGUAAGUCAGGUGUGAAACCUCCAGGCUCAACCUGGAGACGCCACUUGAUACUGCUGUGACUGGAGUCCGGUAGGGGAGCGUGGAAUUCCUGGUGUAGCGGUGAAAUGCGCAGAUAUCGGGAGGAACACCGGUGGCGAAGGCGGUUCUCUGGGCCUGUACUGGACGCUGAGGAACGAAAGCGUGGGGAGCGAAACAGGA